rnacentral:rRNA from 1 species
UACGUAGGGCGCAAGCGUUGUCCGGAAUUAUUGGGCGUAAAGAGCUCGUAGGCGGUUUGUCGCGUCUGCUGUGAAAUCCCGAGGCUCAACCUCGGGCUUGCAGUGGGUACGGGCAGACUAGAGUGCGGUAGGGGAGACUGGAAUUCCUGGUGUAGCGGUGGAAUGCGCAGAUAUCAGGAGGAACACCGAUGGCGAAGGCAGGUCUCUGGGCCGCAACUGACGCUGAAGUGCGAAAGCUAGGGGAGCGAACGGG